CUUAACAUUUAAAAGUGCACCUAUUUAUACCUUAGGUGUCUCCAUUUUAAGGUUACUGUAGUUCAAAUAUGAAAAAGUAACACUUCUUUUACUUUAUUCAAUUUAGGACCUCCCUUAAUUUGGCAAACAUACAAGGCCAUAACUAAAUGGUGUCUACGUCAUGGAAAUUUUCCUGACUUAGUUCAAGAUGGCAUCUUAAAGUCUGAAUAGGUUAUCUGUUGUUUAUACUAAGUCGUAAGUGUACAGUCGCGGGAGAUUCCCGGAUUUGGGGAAGUUCCAUUAACUUGGGGUUACCACAGUAUAUUGUGUACUGCAAGUGUCGUAGUAUAGUCUUGAAGCUUGUUUAUGCAUUAUUGUUAUUGUAAUUCGUCUGGGACAAAAUGGCGCAAACAUAUUAUGCACUGAGGUUAUUGCUUAAAGAAACAGUUAUGAAAAACAAUAUGUUCCAUUUCUAAC
rnacentral:lncRNA from 1 species